rnacentral:tRNA from 1 species
GUCGAGAUAGCUCAGUGGUAGAGCAAAGGACUGAAGAUCCUUAGGCCACCAGUUCGAAUCUGGUUCUCGGCA